UGCCUCAGGCAGCAUGAAGGCUAUGUGCUUCCCUGCCCCUGGCUACAUAGUACUGAGGGAAGGGGGGCCCAAGCUGAACUCUUGCACCAGGGCCCAUAGGCUGUUAGCUACGCCCCUGCCAGAGAGUGUUGCUGCUACCCACACAUUACAUUGUUGGCUAUGGCAGGAAACAUGUGUGGUUAGUUGCACCUUCUUUGAUGAUUACAUCUGGUCACUGAGGGUUUCAGAAGCAGAUUUUUGAGGCCAUCUUCAAUAUAUAAAGGGGUUGUUUUGAUAAGACAGCAACACAAGAUCUGAUAUUUAGUGGUGAUUGUAAAACCUUAAAACUAAGGUGAUGUUCACACAUGUGUAGGAGGCUCCAUUAACCAUCUUACGAGACCUAAUGACAAGAAUAGCGCAGCAUGCAGCGCUACUUUCGCUGUCCAAACUCCUGAAACCACAAUCAUACCCCUACUUUGCAUUGGCGCUCCCUUGGAACUAGCAGUUGGACAUUCUGACUGAAGGCUCUUCAAAUGCAUUUUACUAUUGGUAAUAUUCUAUUACUGCACUUCCAGUAUAGCAGUGUUCCUCAACUCCAGUCCUCAGGGCCCACCUGAUUUGAGAAUAUCCCACAGAAUGAAUACCUGUGGUAAGUUCUGAUGCAUGGACACUAAUGAUAUCACCUGCUUAAUACUAAGGAAAUCCUGAAAAUAUGACUGGAAAGUGGGCCCUGAGGACUGGAGUUGAGGAACAUUGCUGUAGAGCACAAACAUACAUAUAUUGCGAUGUAUUUCCUUGUGCUGUUCCACAAUAAUUAAAGGGAAUUAGUCACCUCCAUAGUAAUCCAAGUCAAGUGUCAGAUGUGCUCUAUUGUCCUGAUCACAAUGCUUUCCCUCCCAUCCCGAUAAAUGCCUGCAUUCAUGGGAAAUAACUGAUUAUUGCAUAUGCACAGGAGCUGUUUGGUGAAACGAGGGCAUCAGCGUUGCACCUCAUUCCACCAAAAGCUUGACUUCUUAUCACUUCGAGCCUUGCCGCCCCCCUCGGGGCCAGGGAAGGGCCAGACAAGGGAGAGGUAAUCUCGCCAGGCCCUGUGUUGCAUGUGUGUCGGUGCUUCAGGAGUCGUGCAUGCACAGUGCAGCCCUGUUGCUCGCUAGGGCUGAAGUCAUCUGUACUACGCAGCCAUGGCACGUGUGCACCAAUUUCUAAAGCACUGGCACAUAUUCAAGUAUUGCAAUGGUGGCCCAUGCAGGCCGGGUGCCAUCUCUCAUCUGUCUUCCUCUCCUCUGUCGGUUGUCAAUGGUAACUAGAAAACCUAAAACUCAGGCACCUAGGGGAAGGUGCCUUCAAUAAUCAGAAAUGUCCAGCCAUUGGCAGGAUGAAACUAGGGUGCUCGCUGGCCAGCUAGGAAGCAUGCGCAUGCCCUAGCGAUAGGCCGGGAGGCCUUCACUGAGAAGCAUAGGCUGCGGCCUGCAGGAACCACAUGGAACGCCGGCUGCCAGAAGUAUGCUUUUUUGUUGGUCUGUCUGCGUACUGACCUCUGCCUGUUUACUGACUCUGUAUCUCAGCUUGUCACGGUGGAGUGAUCCAGCUAAUAGACGAUCAUAAGGCGCAUAACCACAACCCGAUGCAGGAUACAACAAAGUAUAUUAUGAGAUAACGCGUUUCGGGGUCUCGACGACCCCUUUAUCAAGUCUACAAGGAACAUAAAUAGUAAAAAAUAUAGUAGAAAAUAAAUAGUAGAAAAUAUAUGUAUGUAUAAAAGUCGUAUAUAGAAUUUGAUAUAUAGAGAUCUAUGGAUAUAUACUUGCAUGAAUAAAUAAAUACAUAGGUAAAAUAGAACACUUAAUUGAGUGGGCAAAUACAUCAAUGAGUGUAAGAAAGUAUAUAUAAAAAGAGAUCUGUAGGUAUAUGCUUAUGUACAUAAAUAGAUAGAUGAAUAAG